rnacentral:rRNA from 1 species
CCCUUAGAUGUUCUGGGCCGCACGCGCGCUACACUGACGAAUGCAACGAGCUUAUAACCUUGGCCGAAAGGUCUGGGUAAUCUCCAAAUUUCGUCGUGAUGGGGAUAGAUUAUUGCAAUUAUUAAUCUUCAACGAGGAAUGCCUAGUAAGCGCAAGUCAUCAGCUUGCGUUGAUUACGUCCCUGCCCUUUGUACACACCGCCCGUCGCUCCUACCGAUUGAAUGGUCCGGUGAAUUAUUCGGACCGGCACUCAACCAGGUUUCCUGGAUGAGAGCUGGAAAGUCUUGUGAACCUUAUUAUCUAGAGGAAGGAGAAGUCGUAACA